rnacentral:antisense_RNA from 1 species
CUGGGUGCGGUGGCUCAGGACUGUAAUUCCAGCUCCAUGAGAGGAUUGCUUGAGGCCAGGAGUUUGAGACCAGCCUGAACAACAUAAUAGACUGGGAGCUCCAUGAGGUCCGAGACAACCAGAAGACUCCCAGCUCAGCAGAGACUGGCUAUGGCAAUCAGUAACUAUUUGUUGAAUAGGACAUAAUAGAAGAGCUGAAGAAUUUUAAACAAGUCACCACCAGUCCAGUGGAUUCCUCAAAGCAAACCUGUAAAUCUCGGCAUGAGUUGGAUUUAAGGCAGUACAUUUUCAGCUCCUGAAAAUUUGAACAGUUUCUCAAGAGAACAACUUGAAACAGAAAGGCAAGGAUGUAGAUGUGGUUGUAGAAGGUGAUGUCUAAGGCCACCAAACUGUCCACUGUGAAGAUAAACCGUGCAUGUUUAGUAGGAGGUGGCUCCCCUUCCCUGUGGGGAGUCCCACUGCUUCCCUGGCCUGGGUGUUCUCUGCUGGUAGAUGUUAUUGACAAAAUAAGCAAAGUCCUCUGAUUCUGAGAAUUAGAGUUUAUGAUUGCUCUAGAUUGCCUCUGCCAUGCUAUUUAAAGUCCUGCUUUAUUGUCUGACAUGAGCUCGGCAUCUAUGAGGACUUGUCCAGUGCACAAAGUACAAUCGCCACUGAAAGAUAUCACCAGCACAUCUUGUCACUGUGCUGUAGCGAGCUGGGCAGUACAAUGAUGUUGGCAGGAUCCUGUUUAGGUGGAGGAUGGCCACCUGGGCAUCAAGAAUCUUCUACCUUGAUUCCACAUUGAUUCCCCAAAGUGGGCUUCAGACAGCUCUUCACUUACGUCUUCUGAUUAAAGCAGCAGACGGGGUCCCAGCUAGAGAAAAGUUCUGGGAGCAGGAGAGGUGUUGGUGGCUUUAAAACCAGGGGUGAAGAUUGAAUUAGGAGGUUAGGCAGGAGUAGGAUCAAAGGCUUAGAAAAUGCUUGUUUCCUUCUAUUAUUCUUAUGAGAGCUGAUAAGGGGCUUUCAGUUUUGGGGGAGAACCUUGGAAGAGAAUGAGGGAAUUUAAUCAACUAGCGGGACCUUUCCAAUUUAUAUUUCCCAGUGUUUAUUGGAUGAUACGUUUGCCUAAUAAGUUAAAGCUUCCAAAAAUAGAAAGGAAAGCUUGGUGACACUAAGCUCUGGCAUGCUGUCAUCUUCUGGCUAGGGGUCUUGUGCUUCUGUUUUUCUAUUUCUGACCAAGGACAUAAAAUGUGUUGUGACCUCUCAGAUAAUGCUAUGGUAUCAUGCCCAAACAGUAACUAACCAGAGUGGAGUUUUUACAGGUAAAAAAGUAUUGAAUAGCUCAGCAACAGGGAGGAUUUCAUGAUAAAUUGCUUUUUCAGAAAAUGACAAGGGGACAGACACUUGCGGUUCUUCCAUUGAGAGCCUUAAGGAAGUUAAGCGAACUCUGCUCACCCCUUCAAGUAAUGAUGACCCAUCAGAUUGUGGUCAUAACCAGUAGCAUCUGAGCCACCCCUAACCUCUCUGGGCCCCAGAUUCCUUGUUAAGUUAAAUGAGGUGACUUCCCAGCUUACCAUUCUAGGGGUUCCUGAGGAGUUAAAAAUGAAGGAGAAAAUGCAACAUGUACCAAGUGAGCAAGAGCUCAAGGCUUAUCUCUGGCACGAAAGUGACCGCUAUCCAUUAGAGAGGUGCUUGCUCUAGAUUUCCUUUAGGAAAUGCAAACAUUGAAUUCUGACCUUCAGGACCCAAGCCCCAGCUUGCAUCUAUUCUAUACACUUUCUGUUAUUUGUUAGGGCUCACAAGGAACAGCUAUUUUUUUUAGAGAUGGAGUCUCACUCUGUCUUUAUUCUGCCUACCACACUCAUCUUUUCUUUCAUCUGUCUCCCAGGCUGGAGUGCAGUGGUGCCAUCUCAGCUCACUGCAAUCUCCACCUCCUGGGUUCAAGCAAUUCUCCUGUCUCAGCCUCCUGAGUAUCUAGGACUACAGGCGUGUGCCAUCAUGCCCGGCUAAUUUUUAGUAUUUUUAGUAGAGGCGGGGUUUCCACCAUAUUGGCCAGGCUGGUCUCGAACUCCUG